rnacentral:rRNA from 1 species
GUCAAAUCAUCAUGCCCCUUAUGACCUGGGCUACACACGUGCUACAAUGGGCGGUACAAAGGGCUGCGAACCCGCGAGGGGGAGCCAAUCCCAAAAAGCUGGUCGUAGUCCGGAUCGCAGUCUGCAACUCGGCUGCGUGAAGUCGGAAUCGCUAGUAAUCGUGAAUCAGCGAUGUCACGGUGAAUACGUUCCCGGGUCUU